rnacentral:rRNA from 1 species
UUACUGCUAUCGGUGUUCGCCUAAGCCAUGCGAGUCAUAUGUUCUUCGUGAACAUGGCGUACUGCUCAGUAACACGUGGAUAACCUGCCCUUGGGUCCGGCAUAACCCCGGGAAACUGGGGAUAAUUCCGGAUAACGCAUAUUUGCUGGAAUGCUUUAUGCGUCAAAUGGAUUCGUCUGCCCAAGGAUGGGUCUGCGGCCUAUCAGGUAGUAGUGGGUGUAAUGUACCUACUAGCCGACAACGGGUACGGGUUGUGAGAGCAAGAGCCCGGAGAUGGAUUCUGAGACGUGAAUCCAGGCCCUACGGGGCGCAGCAGGCGCGAAAACUUUACAAUGCGGGAAACCGUGAUAAGGGGACACCGAGUGCCAGCAUCAUAUGCUGGCUGUCCAGGUGUGUAAAAUACACCUGUUAGCAAGGGCCGGGCAAGACCGGUGCCAGCCGCCGCGGUAACACCGGCGGCCCGAGUGGUGAUCGUGAUUAUUGGGUCUAAAGGGUCCGUAGCCGGUUUGGUCAGUCCUCCGGGAAAUCUGAUAGCUCAACUAUUAGGCUUUCGGGGG